CGUGCCCGGGGUGCGGGGGUGGCGCCGGUGCCUGCCCCGCGCCCGGACGACCGGCGGUUCGCGUCCGCCGGACGGGCC
rnacentral:tRNA from 1 species